rnacentral:lncRNA from 1 species
ACAAACUUGGGGAUGCUAUGUUUGAUGAAGAUACUAUUUUUAGUAACCCAAGUUUUGAUGACGAAAUUUACUAUGAUGAAAUCAUGCCUUUUUGGGGACCGUCUUUUCUUGGAAUUUAAUUUCCCUUUCAAAUGGCCCUUAAGUAUACCAGCCCCAGGAAUACUAUUAGCUGGCACACCUUUCCUUGAUACAAAUGUCCAAGCAAAAUAGAAAUUGAGGUACAAGACCAAGGUGGUCUAAUGAGUACAUCAAAAGGGUUUCUAGUGGUUGAUGGCGGAAGCGUUACACGGAUCUCCAACUCCUCUGGGACUCCAUUUCCCACAGGAACAGGUGACUGGGUAAAUUCCUAUCUCGCGUGACUGAUGUCCUCGACGCCUAUGCUCCAAGCUUAUCGUCAACCAUCUCCUCUCCAAGCUUGCAAUCUGGCCAAGACAAUAGCCAGGGACAAGUCAGUGAGUACUUUGAAUGUACUCGCAAACAUCAAGAAACAAACAUAUAAUUUGCAGUGUUAAUUAUACACUCAUAAUGAUGCCAUAAUACUGCUUCAACCAAAAAUACUACUCAAGCAUUAGUAGUGAAAUUUUAAUCAUAUUGAAAUUCAUUAAGCAAUCAAUAACGGUAUUAAUAUCAGAUGCAACAUAAAACAUGCCACAGUCGGGUGUCUCAGCGACACCACAUAAGGGGCUUAUAUGGAAUAAUAACCAUGCCACAGUCGGGUGUCUCAGCGACACCACAUAAAGGGCUUAUAUGAAAUGAUAGACAGGCCAUAGUCGGGAGUCUCAGCGACACCACCUAAAGGGCUUCUAUGGAAUAAGAAACAUGCCACAGUCGGGUGUCUCCACGACACCACAUAAAGGGAUUAUAUGAAAUGAUAGAUAGGCCACAGUCGGGCGUCUCAGCGACACCACAUAAAGGGCUUGUAUGAAGUAAUAAAUAAUAUCCAGGAGGCAGAACUGUCCCAGGGAUAUUCAACCACCAAAAUCAUAAGGGUUAGUCCACAGAAAAUAAUAUUUAUAAUCAUCCACCAUAUUUCCCGAUUUGUCUCAUACUCCUUUAACUACCUCCGAAGACCGACACUUAGACCGACACUUGACUAGUUAACCAACAUCGUUGACCAUGGACACGGCUACUCGAAUAGUUUUGACUCUGAAGAGGGUGUACUCUUUACCCAUAGUUCACGCUUUUCAAUAGUCAUCAUGACUAAUCCCGCGUACAACAAUUUAGAAGUGGACACUCAGAACCAGCACAUACCCAUUUUGCCUCCGCGAAGCCCGGCUUCACCCGGACUACGUUGCCAAGGUAAAACCAUAAGACGGGGAGGCUCCGACCUCGACUAGCAUGGGAUCAAAAUAUUUAUACCGCGUGCUCACGGUGAGUGCCCUCCCUUCCGGUCCCAAACCAGAAACACCCAUGCCCCCUUACCGUAUGACUGGAUUUAUACCACAGCCGUGGAUACCUUCAUCCCGUCCCCUCUACUCGUGUGUGACUGAUAAUAGGUCUGCAACUGACUAUACCGAACCCAUUAUCCAGGAAGCUAUGGUAGCACGCAAAUAAGGAGACAUAAUGACAAGACUCGAUCUAUAGUCGACUUAGGAGGUUUAAGUGUUACCUGCAUGAUUAGCACCCACUAUAUGCAGACAGAGUCACUACCCACCUAACAUACCUUCUUGACCACUCUCGUCCACGAGAUUUCAAUUCCCACGGUUGUGUCUCCACAAGACACCGACUCUCACCAAAUCGCGUCCGUAGGCAUGUAUGGAAGGAAAGAGUGACCACUUCCCAUGCACCACAGUCAUAGCAAUCCUUACUUUCAAUAUCAUGAAACCACAUGCAUGAUUUGCCACAUGAAAUAACACCACAAACGUAACAUAAACCUAUGUUACUUUCACCAAGCAAACACACAUAACCAGGUUUAAAGUAGGUUCAGGAUGCUUGUCUUCCAAGUGUAGAGAGGUGGGGUUCACCACAAAACUUUUGCAAGUUUUAACUCCUCUCCUAAAAGCUCAGGCGAAGGCACUUCCACUUAGCGCGGGCUCUGGCUGGGGCAGGGACAAUGACACGCGGGGCCCGCGUGCAGGUUUGACUAUGGUCUCCUUCUUCCUCCUCUGGACGAAGGAGGGAGGGACUCUGGCGAGGCUCACCGGUGACAGGAUCCUUCAUUCGAGAAACUGAGAGCACCGACGUGCUCCGGGUACACGGCGCAUCCAUUUCACGGUCUUGGGGCUGCGGCAGAGGUCGAGGGCGAGUGGCUCUUCCUCCAUGGCGGAGGGAGCUUCGGCUCCGACGAGGCGCAAGCUAGGAGGAGUCCUAGGUGCACGACGAGGGGUGCGGCAGCUCCAUGGUGUCCAGGGGGUUCAAGUGGUAGGCUCAGGCACGGAGACGACACUCUAACAAGACCGAAUCGACCCGAGGCGCUGCGGUGGCCGAAUGUCACCGGAGUCGGGAACGAAGGGGCCUCGGUCUCAAAUUAGAGCUAGAGGGGCUGGUUAUGGCUACCAGGGAGGACUUGGCAUGCUCUGAGGCUGCCGGGGUACUAUUUAUAGCCUCGGAGUGUCGGUUCCAUGGAAGGCAUGGAUGAGAUCGCCGAGGACAACUACUGGCGAGGGCACAGGGGCAGCUCGAUGUAGCCACGGGGCGGGGAAGCAGCGGCUCGUCGCAGGGAGGUAGUCCUCGGAGGAGGGCUUGGACGGCACUGCAUCGCUGCACUGCUAUUGCUGCUUGACGACGGCCAGCGUGGUUGCGGCAUCGCAGGGGCGGCAGGGGCAAAAGUGGUGCACGAGGAGCUCGUGCGAGUGGGCCCACGUGCUGAGGUUGCUUCGGAUAGCGAGGGGGCGAUAGGGUUGCGACGCGGCGGCUUGGGUCUACUAGCUGCAAUCCGCGCGCUCUAGAGCGCGCUCUGGCAUGCCUGCCAGGUGCUCGACGAAUUGCCACGGCUAUCUAGGGGCUUGUGUUGGUGGUGAAAAGCUCCAGAUUGCCAGAGGCUCUACUAGGGGUCUGCUAGACAUGCUGGUUCACUCCUGGGUGCAACUUCACCACACAAACAAAGUUUCAUGUCAAUUCUGGUUAGGGACACCAGGUGUUUGAUAGAAUGCCAAGGGAAUCUAGGGGCACUUGCUAGCCACAAUAAUUACCAGAUAUAAGCCUCAUUGGAUGGCACAAAGAUGGCAAGGUCAUAAUUACCAACUCAACAACUUUCCAAUGCAGCUAUAGCAAAAAUUCAUUUCUGGACAGAAACAAGAUGAUGAUGCAACAUGGGUCAAAACAAUUCCAGUGGAGUUGAAAUUUGAUACUUAAGGGUUUUAUAGGGUGGACUACAAGCACAAAAAGUUUCAAGAGCAUUGGGGAAGGAAAAAGUGGGGUUGCAGUACAAAAUGCCAAUCUGGUCCAGAAUAGAAAAACAAGAAGUGGUGCUCAAAUAUUUCAAAAGGCCAAUAUAUAUUUUUGCAAAAAACUCAUUCAUAUAAACAUCUUGACCUCGACAUAUUUUUACAAAAUUAUUAAGGACUUUAAUGAAGAGGUUGCAGUGCAAAGCACCUACCUGGACCAGAACAGAAAAUAUAUCAAUGAGCAAUAUUUUACCAAAAUACUCACCUCGGUUUUUGCAUAAAACUCAUUUGUAUGAACCCCUUGGCUACCACAAAUUUUGGUAGAAUUUUUGGAGACUUUAUAUAGGGGGUUGUAGUACAAAUCUAUAAUUGGACCAGAAAGUAAAGUUAAUUAAUUUGUUUAAUCCUACCAAAACACUUGGCUAUAUUAUAAUAUAAAAAUUGAUCCAGAAACAUAGUAGGUAAUUGCCAAGCUUAUUGUGGAAUUUUUAGAACAGGUUAACAGGUGGUUGCAGUUCAAAAGUGGACCCUUAGGAAAAUAAAAACCUGUUUUGAAUAAAUAGAAUUGGAAGAUAAUAUUUAUAGAGAAACAUUCUCUGCAAUAUUCAGUGGAGGGAAAAUAUUUGAGUCAACACUUAAGUCACAUAAAAGUUUUCAAAAAGCGCCAGCUCAUAAAAGAGUUAUUCACAAAACCAAGAAUAAGAGAGGUUUUGAAAUCAACAGAAAACCGAGAAAUAAAAUUUAAAACAAUUCAGGCCAAAUUUAUUAAAUAAAAAUAUUGGCAAAAUUUUGGGGUGUUACAGACUCCUAUCUAUGUUGAUUACUGUGAUGACAUUUAUGCUAUAAAGAAUUAGGAUAACCAUGAAACUGUUCAUCAUGAUUUUAAUUUUCACAUAGAUUAUAUCAAUCAAGUAUGUGAUUUUAAUUUUGUUGAGUUUGCUCCCACUACUAUGAAUGAUAAGAAUUUUGCUUGUGCGGAAAGUAAUAAAAAAAUUAUGAUUAUGCAUCAUGAAAAGGAUGCUUUAUGUGAUAGUUAUAUUGUUUAAUUCCCUCAUAAUGCUACUGAAAAUUAUUAUGAGGGAGGAACAUAUGCUAGUAGGAAUUGCAAUAAUAUCAAGGUUCCUACCAAUACGUUCAAAGUUUUGAAGUUAUGCUUGUUUUUCCUUCCUAUGCGAAUUGAUUCUUGCUCCCAUAAAUUGUUUUCUCACAAAAUCCCUAUCCAUAAGAAGUGAGUUAGACUUGAAUGUGCUUGCCAUAUGAUUCAUUAUGCUGCCAUUGUGUUUCAAAACAUUGCUUUUAUGUGAGCAUCAUUGAAAUCAUCAUGCCUAGCUAAAAGUCAUUAAAGAAAAGCGCUUGUUGGGAGACAACCCAAUAUUUAUCCUUUAUGUUUUUGUGUGUUAACAUGAUUAAGAUAUUGUGGUAAUCAUGUUUUAUAGCUUUUAUUUCAAUAAAGUGCCAAGUAAGGCCUCCGGAUAGUGUGGAUACUUGCUUGUUUGAUUUUGUGCAAAAAUAGAAACUUUUACGUCUAGUGCAGAAUUUCUAUGAUUUUACUGGAACGUCAAAAUAUUAUGUAAUUUUUACAAAGUUUUCACCUGCAAAUGCUCUAAAUUUUCCGAAUUUUCCGAAUUUUUAGAGUCACGCAAGUAUGGUGUUCAUUCAGAUCUUCUAAGACUGUUCUCUUUUUCAUAGAUUAUGUUUUGCAUGCAUAGUUUUCUUGUUUUAGUGUUUCCAUAUCUUAUAUUUAGUGAUGCAAAUUAUGGUAAUUAUACAAUACAGUAGGUAUUACGUUAGAACAAUUAUGAAUCUUGUCUUGACAGUAUCUAAGUGAAUGAUCUAUCUUUAUUACACUAACCCAUCCCACGAAGUUCCGUUAAGUUUUGUGUGAUUCAAGUUUUCAAGUUUUGGGUAAGAUACCGAUAUGAGGUGAAUAAGGAGCACGUGGAACCUAAGCUUGGGGAUUCCCAAGGCACCCCAAGUCAAUAUACAAGGAAGACUCAAACGUCUAAACUUGUGGAUGCCGUGGAAGGCAUCCCCUCUUUCGCCUCCAACAUUAUCGGUAUACGUUGGUUGGACCUAUUUUUUAUUCAUCACAUAAUAUUUGUUUUGCUUGGAGGGUCAUUUUUUUGGUGUUUUAUGUUAGAUGUUAUUUUUAAUCUUGUUUGUAAAUAAACAUUUCCAGGAACUGCCUUUAGAAUGCUUUAAUUGCAUAUGUAAUGGGUGUUGUACAAAACUAGAAACUUUUCUUCUAGUAUUUGAAUUAUCAGAUUCUACUGGAACAUGGAAAGUUUUGGAAAUUUAUACUCAGUACUUCCAUAGAACUUAUUUACCAUGUCUUAAAUUUCCUGAAUUCUUUGAUCUACAAAGGCACAUUUUUGAAUUAAUUGCGACAGAGUGCUCUGUUUGGACAAGUUGUUAUCAUAGUUUUGUUAUCUACUUAUCCUAGAGUUUCCAUGUCUUAUAUUGCUAGAUAUAAACUGUGGAAAUGAUAGUAUACAAUACCUAAUGUUUGAAAAUUAUUAUGCAACUUGCCUUGGAAGUAAAUGACGUGUUGAUUUACAUUUAUGUUGACUAACCUAUCUCAGGAGUUCUUUUCAAGAUUUGUGUGGAUGAAGUUUUUGAGACUUAGGUGAAACCGGGAUAUGAGAGGAUUGGACGAGAUAUAAAAGCGCAAUAUUAGGGAUGCCCAAGGCACCCCAAGUAAAUAUUUCAAGAAGUCUCAAAGCAUCUAAGCUUGGGGAUGCUACGCAUCCGACUUCUAUUAGGCAACAAAUAUCGUUUAGCCUAUGUUGAGCCUAAAUUUUUAUUUGUCCAAAUGAUAUGUGCUAUUAUUGGAUUAUAUUUUUAUUUUAUUUACUAUUUGAACAAAAUAGUCAUAUCUGAAAAUCGUUAUUGAGAGAGAGUCCUCACAUAGCGACUUAAUUGUUUGACUACUCAUUGAUCUUCACUUAUAUAUUUUGAGAGUAGUUUGAUUGUUUGCUCUUGUGCUUCACUUAUAUCCUAAGAGUAAAUUGUGAAUGAAUGACAUAUUAUAAAUAUGAAAUUCUCAAUGUACUUCAUGUGUUGUUGUAGUAUCACAUUUGGUUUAGAAAGUAAAAUUUAUUGAAGUUUGACAAUCAUUGUAUUGGCCAUAUGAGCAAUUCAUGAAUGAUUAGUAUAAGAAAGGGAACUUUUACAUACAAAUAUAUUAUCUUGGACAUAUUUUAUGAUUGUGAAUACCAUUAAUUAUUUUCAAACUUGAUCAAUAGUUGACGUUAGACAAGGAAGACAACGUAAUGGUUAUGUUUGGGUAUAUUUGCAUAGAAGUUAUAUUGUUUUGGAUCCUCCAACAUGUGGUGCUUGUUUAGAACAUUUUGCUAGGCAAAACUUUGUACUAAGUAGAGAUACUACUUGUGCAUCCAAAUCCUUGAGCCAAGUUUCUUCCAAAAGAGUCCACCAUACCUACCUAUAUAUGGUAUUUCACUGCCAUUUCCAAUAAAUUGGCAUGUGCCACCUCUAAACAUUCAAAUAAGCAACUGUCUUGUGUGGCCUUACCACUCAUGGAGCGACGGGGCAAUUAUUAUCUUCCAUCGUAAGCGAGUUAUUCUCAAGAUGAAUGUGUAUUCACUUGUCAUUGCACGAGAGAAGCUGAUAGAACUAACCCGUACUAACGUUGUUUGUAGUAGAAUUACCAUGGUGUGGUUUUUGUGCAGAAAAUGGAAGUUCUCGGAAUCUCCCAAAACUUUUUUUUUCUAGAGGAAAUAAUGGAGCGAAGAACCACCAGAGGGGAGUGUAACAGCCCGAGACCGACGCUCCAAAAUAUUCCCCUUUUAUUCCAUUGCCGUCGUUUGAUUAGAUUGUAUGUCACAUUUAUCUUUGCAUCAUGCGCAUCCUAUGCAUUGCCUCGGCACUCUAUUGCCGCCAAUUUUCAAAAUUUGCAUCCGUUAUUAGUUGCUAGUUCUCUCCAUUAUUGCCGUUGAUCGUUUUGAGACCAACUACACAUGCACGCGCCCGCAACAUCAAUAAAUAUUGCGUUUAAAAGUGCAUAUAAAACAUUUUAGGAUUGGGUUGAAACUUGGCGUGCUGUCUUAUUUUAUUGUAUAUAGGCCUCCUGUCAAAUUUCGUUGCAAUCGGAGUUCGUUUGACACCUGAACUGUUAAACCUAUAGCGGCACUAUAGCCGGUCCAACGUCGGACAUUUUCGGUGCUUUAAACUUUGUCGCCGGUUGCUCGGUCCAAAUAUGUAGAUUGCUUUUUUCCAAUUCCUUGCAGUUUUAAGUCAGUUUCAAAAAUGGCUAAAAACAUUAUUUGGCCUUAGUUUUUACAAACUUUAUCGAAAUGGGGAAAAUAAUACAUCGUUCAAAAGCUACAGAAAAUACGAAACCUUUUCACGUAGAUGGUUUUCUCUGAUUCCUAGCCAUUUUCAAGCAAUCUAUAAAACAUCGUGUUUUUGGGUUCUGCCUUUAUCACGAAACACAUUCUUUGAAAAUGCGCCAUAUAAAGAACUCGACAGAACUCGACCUUUUCGCCAUGUCCACUUGAACUUCACUCUGUUUUUCACGUGUUGUUGUUUUGUUCGUAACUCUCCAUCCACUCACGAGGUUUAAAAGAUUUUCAUAUAACAUUCAUGUAGUGUAGUAUUUGACCUUCUCGUUGUUUUCACGCUGACCUUCUGUCACGUAUUUUCGUUUGUAGUUUCUCACCCAUUUGUCGGUGUUACACAAAUUAUAUUCCAUUUGUACAAACUUCUCUCACAAUAAAAAAUUUAACCUUCUCCGACCGCGCACUUAAACUUAUAUCAAAAAUAAAAAAUUGGACCUUUCAUUUUUAUUCACCAUCUUCAUGUUUAUUAUGCAGAAGUAAAUAAAACGGGAACCUCCAUUACAAUAAUUUUUGAACUUCCUAAACCGACCACCUAAACUUCUAGCAAAACUCUUUUUAAACUUUGCCUUUAUAUUCUUUUUUCUUAUGUGAAACACACUUUAUGUAGUAGUUGAACCACUAGUUGUUUUCAGUAUGAACUUCUAAAACACUUUUGAAAUAACCAUUAGAAUCCAUCAAAAAGGCACAACUUUGUGUGCCGAGAAGUUUUUCUAACUCUUGGGGGUUUAGAAGUUUUUAGUAGGCCCUUUAUUUUAGUUGAACUGCUGUGUAAUUUAAAUUCAAAAUUCUACUCUAUUUUUAUAAACACGGAAUCAGGUUUACUUUUAUAGAUUACCUUGAACUACUCUAUUUUCUAAAAUUGACCUUCUUCUUUUUUUAGAACCAUGAAAAUAUGUUUUGUCAGAAAACAUUGAACUCCUCUCUUUUUAAAACCCAAACUUCUUGAUUUUUAAAUUAUUUUUAAACAAGAAAAUUAUCAUUUUUUAUAAACGUCGAACUUUUUAUGUAUACUUGAACUCCUUCGUUAUUUUCUUUUGGACUGCUCUGUUAUAUCAAUUUGACCUUCUCAAUUUAGAAAUGCCAAAACAACAUUGAAUUUGAAAAAAAAAACUUCGCGAGCUUUAUUCUGAUUGGUAGGUCUCUUCUACCUUUUACUGCCUUGCCUUCAAUAUUUGAACUUCACGCAUUCAUUGUUUUAUUUUCACACAAAAUGGAUGCAAAAUAAAAGAGUGUACGUAAGUUUGAUCCAUCUCCAAAAAAAAAUCUCUAGCUCUUAUAUAUCAUAGUCUUUUGUAGGAAUAUCAAAAAAAUGUACACAACACGAAAUCAUAUGUGAUGAAACAAAGUUUGGUCUAGUAUUUUUGUUUUGCAUCUGACAUAACAUCACGUUCACGCCAACACUACACAUUUUAUUACUUACACACUUUGAUUGCUUUCCGCUUCUCUCUUUUAAAUUUGAACUUCAUAGGUUUUUGUUGUGUUUGGCUCUUUAUUUUUUGAUACCGCAAUGCGUGUGUUUUGCCAUCAGCAAACUUUUUGAACUAUCCGCGAGAGGGAACAUGGACUUCACAUCCACAUUUUUUUUUGUUUUCAAGAAAUGCUUGCUUUUUUGCUUUUAAUUUUGAACUUCUAUGCUCUAUUUUCUGCGUAUCACGGCAAGGGGCAUCAGAAGUACAAAAAAUGUUGCUCAUUCACUGAAAUCAAUGCCAGUGUUUUAGUCUCAUACUUCAGACCUUUGGAGUCUAAACAGACUUCUUGCUGCAAUUUAACUCAUGGACAAUCAUUAGAUAUGUGAUCCCACGUCUUAUUUUUGUUAUCAUAUCUAAACUUUAGAUUUGGUACAUUUCCAUUUUGUUUGACAAGCUGUACGCUAUUGACAACAGGACCACAGUUAAGACAAUAAUAGCAGUUGGUCAAGAAGAGAGAGUGGAGCGGAAGUAGCUCAUGACAGAACUAGAAGCAACAGUCUCAUGAAUUAGAAGAGAAGCAGUAACAAAAUAAUGUGUGUGUGAGAUCGAGGUAAUGCAGCGCAUGAGAUUUAGGGCAAGUGGUGAUAAGAGGGAGGGGAGGAGGUUAUCCAAGGGAAACUAGGGUGGAGUCGUGGCGGAGAUCCAUGUCUGAGUGGGUUUUUGGCAGAAAAGUAGUGCACGGCUAGGAGUAACGUCUUUGAACAGACUGUUGGAGUUAAUCCCGACAUGAAUCCGUGUAUGUGUGGUGUGCGUAUAGGAUUCCUGUACUUACACAUAUCCUAAUAGGACUAGAACUAGAAAACCAUAGGAUUCAUGUACUUACACAUAUCCUAAUAGGACUAGAACUAGCAAACCGAAUAGUAUUGGUCUGUCUAGCAAGAUCUAUUUAUAUGUGUGUAAACCAGCCCUGUAAAACACACCGAACCGUGAGGAAGCAACAAACUCAAGGCUCGAUACGAGCCUUUGGCAAUCAGCCAAGCGUUUCGUGUGCGUUCGUGUGGUACCGGCCGGCUGGCCGCUGUGUGCAUACGAUGAGAUACUAGUUGAUCAAGCGAAUCGAUUAGUUGGAGUUGGCUAAGCUACACUAGUACAUGGUAGCUUCCAACGUAUACAUCUCGGCGUAAGAGAACUUCGACGGGAUCGUCUUAGCUUCGCUUCGUCAUCGUUCGUCGUCAGUUGUGACGUGUCGUUAGAAAGUACUCGGCGACACGGUCUGGGCCAACAAUUGGUAUCAAGAGCAAGGUUGAUCUUCUAAUAAUGGAAGAUCAUGUCGGACGACAAGAAGGACAAGCAGCUAACAGGGUACAAUGGUGCGGCUCAUGUAUUUGCUGCUUCGACGAGGUUGUCAUACCCACGAUUUGAUCAUGAGAACUUCGGGGUCUAGAAGGCCCUGAUGGAGUGCGGUCUCCGCGCCAACGUGUUGUGGGAUGCAGUCGAUCCAGGAGACGAGGCUUUCAAGGAGGGAGCUGAGCAUCGGAAGGAUCGGCAGGCGGCGUUGGCGAUUUAUUCGGUGAUGCCGAUGGAUGUCCUUCAACACGUGAUCGUCAAAGAAACGACGAAGGAGGUGUGGGAUACCUUGGAGCUCAUGUUCGAGGGACACGGCCGCGUCAAGCAAGACAAUCCCCAAACUCUCUUAAGGAACUAUGAGACUUUAGUCAUGGGCGACAAUGAGUCUGUGGACGCGUUUGCUUCCUGGGUAGCUACUCUCGUUAAUCGGAUCCGCGCACUUGGAGAGAAUCUAACAGAGGCCUCGAUUGUCCGUUGGUUCUUCCGUGCGGCUCCUCCCCGGUACCUGCAAAUUGUCACGGUGAUCGAGCAGUGCGUCGAUCUCGCGACUCUCUCCAUUGAUGAUCUCGUCGGACGCUACAGGCUCACGACGAGCACAUGCGAUACAGUCUCGAGGACGGGAGGAACGAUGAGCUUGUCAUGCUCACGCAGGCUCAGUGAAAGGCUUCGGACUCAAGGAGAGAAGGUGAGGGCUCUAGCAGUUACGCUCGCCAAGCACGUGUGCCAAACGAACAAAGUCAGAUGGACGCUAGUGAUGGCGUUCCGAAGAAGAAGUUCGACAAGCGCAAGAUCAAGUGUCGCAAUUGUGGCAUCAUGGGACACAUCAAGUCGGAGUGCAAGAAUCCCCCAAAGGGGAAGGCGCUCAUGGUCCAGUACAGAGAUGAAGGUGACAUGAUGUUGAUGUGUGAACUCGUGGACGAGGAGUGUCCAGUUCUUCAACUGUCCAGUUCUUCAAGUGUGAACUCCAUGAAGAAAAAGUUUGCUCUCAAAAUCAUGGUUUGGAAACCCGUAUCGAUGCUACGGAUGCGGAGGGUGACUCUGAAACUUACACCAAUGCUACGGGUGUAAGUGCUAUCUUUGCUGGAGCGAAGGAAGCGCUCAUUGCAUGCGCUCGGGCGUGGAGAAGCGCCCUUGUUACAAACAUGAGGGGUGAUUUCAAGACUUGUGUCGAUGCAAAAAUGGAUUGCCCGUCAGCCAGCCAAUAAAGUAGAGCAGGAAUUAAAGCAGACACACGGAAUUAAAGCAGACACACGGAUGCGUAGAAAUAAACACAAGUUCCGCCAAUACUGAAGAAAUCAAGAGAUCGUGACAAUGCGCGGGAAUGAAAAACACAAACCUGAAUUUAAUCCAUUUUCUCUCCCUAGGCGUCGCCAUCCGCCGCGGUCUUAUCGGUGAGUCGACAGGACGGGUCUUUUCAUGAGAAGGGGGCGGGAGACAGAGUACGCGCGCGUCCGUCACUUCUCGCGUCGGGCGUGGCGUGUCCCGCGAGGCCUCCCCUAUGCCUCCAGUGGUAGCCAUCUGGACACGAUCCGUGGCAUGGGACGGUGGUUGCGCACGGCCAGCUGUAGAGCAUGGCCUCCUGCAUCUGAAGUAAGAUAGCUGCCCCCCCCACACCUUGCAGGAUAGCAUCCAAUCCGUACGUGGGCCUGUGGUCGCCGGCGGGUGGAGGGCAGUGAAGGACCGUCGCUGGAUCCGGUGACCCCGAGUUGCUG